rnacentral:rRNA from 1 species
GACGAACGCUGGCGGCAUGCCUAAUACAUGCAAGUCGAGCGAACAGAUGAAGUGCUUGCACUUCUGACGUUAGCGGCGAACGGGUGAGUAACGCGUAAGGAAUCUACCUAUAAGCGGGGGAUAACAUUCGGAAACGGGUGCUAAUACCGCAUAAUAUCUUCUUCCGCAUGGAAGAAGAUUGAAAGACGGCUCUGCUGUCACUUAUAGAUGACCUUGCGGUGCAUUAGUUAGUUGGUGGGGUAACGGACUACCAAGACGAUGAUGCAUAGCCGACCUGGGAGGGUGAUCGGCCACAUUGGGACUGAGACACGGCCCAAACUCCUACGGGAGGCAGCAGUAGGGAAUCUUCCGCAAUGGGCGAAAGCCUGACGGAGCAAUGCCGCGUGAGUGAAGAAGGCCUUCGGGUCGUAAAACUCUGUUAUAAGAGAAGAACAAAUUGUAGAGUAACUGCUACAGUCUUGACGGUAUCUUAUCAGAAAGCCACGGCUAACUACGUGCCAGCCGCCGCCGUAA